GGCGCCUGAAAAUUUGGAGAGAAGAAGGAAAGGAAUAAACUAAAUAAGGGAAGAGAUUUGCUUCCCCUUUAGGAGCAAUCACUUUCCCAUUUUGGUUAGUCAAACUUUCCAGUAGCCACCACACUCUCCCUAGCGGAAAAUACAUCCCCCUCUCUCCCUCUCCCAAUUGAGUUUUGAAGAUCACCAAGAAUGCUAGCCUCCAUUAAAGAGGAAGUGCACAACCAACAUCAUCUAAAGCUCAUUCCAUCCUUUGUUCAUGGUUUCAAAGUGUCCAAGGAGCCCUCGUAUCCAAGAAAUAUCCCCAAAAGUAAAGGUAAUCUUUA
rnacentral:misc_RNA from 1 species